rnacentral:rRNA from 1 species
UACGGAGGGGGCUAGCGUUGUUCGGAAUUACUGGGCGUAAAGCGUACGUAGGCGGCUUUGUAAGUUAGAGGUGAAAGCCCGGGGCUCAACUCCGGAAUUGCCUUUAAGACUGCAUCGCUUGAAUCAUGGAGAGGUGAGUGGAAUUCCGAGUGUAGAGGUGAAACUCGUAGAUAUUCGGAAGAACACCAGUGGCGAAGGCGACUCACUGGACAUGUAUUGACGCUGAGGUACGAAAGCGUGGGGAGCAAACAGG